AUGAACGCUGGCGGCGUGGCUAAGGCAUGCAAGUCGAACGAGCUAUUUUUUGUAGCAAUACAGAAGAUAGCGAGUGGCAAACGGGUGCGUAACACAUUGGUAACCUACCUCCCAGUCGGGCAUAAUUCACCGAAAGGUGGACUAAUUCCACGAUGGGCAUGAGGGGACGCGAGUCAUUCUCAUGUAAAGCGCAAAACGCGCUGGGAGAGGGGCCUAUGGCCCAUCAGCUAGUUGGUAGGGUAACGGCCUACCAAGGCGAUGACGGGUAGGGGGUGUGAGAGCACGACCCCCCUCACUGGAACUGAGACACUGUCCAGACACCUACGGGUGGCUGCAGUCACGAAUAUUCCCCAAUGGGCGAAAGCCUGAGGGAGCGACGCCGCGUGUGGGAAGAAGGCCUUCGGGUCGUAAACCACUUUUGCCGAGGACGAAAUCUGACGGUACUCGGAGAAUAAGAGGUUGCUAACUCUGU
rnacentral:rRNA from 1 species